rnacentral:rRNA from 1 species
GAGAUGUGGGUAGUCCGCACGAGCGCACCCUAUCCUUAGUUGCCAGCACAUUAUGGUGGGGACUCUAAGGAGACUGCCUGGGAUAACCAGGAGGAAGGUGGGGAUGAUGUCAAGUCAGUAUGUCCCUUAUGUCCAGGGNCUACACACGUGUUACAAUGGUUGGUACAGAGGGCAGCUAAGCCGCAAGGUGGAGCCAAUCCCCCAAAACCAACCCCAGUUCGGAUUGGAGUCUGCAACUCGACUCCAUGAAGCAGGAAUCGCUAGUAAUCGCGGAUCAGAACGCCACGGUGAAUACGUUCCCGGGUCUUGUACACACCGCCCGUCACGCCAUGGAAGUCAGUAGUACCCGAAUCGAGUGGCCCAACCUUAGGGAGGGAGCUCGUUAAGGUAAGACUGGUAUCUGGGGCGAAGUCGUAACAAGGUAGCCGUACCGGAAGGUGCGGCUGGAUCACCUCCUUU